rnacentral:siRNA from 1 species
AUCUAAGGCAAAGAAGGUGGAUGG